rnacentral:rRNA from 1 species
GAUGAACGCUGGCGGCGUGCUUAACACAUGCAAGUCGAACGAUGAAAGCGGGAGCUUGCUCCUGCUGGAUUAGUGGCGAACGGGUGAGUAACACGUGAGUAACCUGCCCUUGACUCUGGGAUAAGCGUUGGAAACGACGUCUAAUACCGGAUACGACCUUCGGAGGCAUCUCCUGGGGGUGGAAAGAAUUUCGGUCAAGGAUGGACUCGCGGCCUAUCAGCUAGUUGGUGAGGUAAUGGCUCACCAAGGCGACGACGGGUAGCCGGCCUGAGAGGGUGACCGGCCACACUGGGACUGAGACACGGCCCAGACUCCUACGGGAGGCAGCAGUGGGGAAUAUUGGACAAUGGGCGAAAGCCUGAUCCAGCAAUGCCGCGUGAGUGAUGAAGGCCUUAGGGUUGUAAAGACUCUUUCGCCUGAGACGAUGAUGACGGUAUCAGGAGAAGAAGCCCGGCGUAAUCCGUGCCAGCAG